rnacentral:rRNA from 1 species
GAUUGCCCUAGUAACGGCGAGUGAAGCGGCAACAGCUCAAAUUUGAAAUCUGGCUUCGGCCCGAGUUGUAAUUUGUAGAGGAAGCUUUUGGUGAGGCACCUUCUGAGUCCCCUGGAACGGGGCGCCAUAGAGGGUGAGAGCCCCGUAUAGUCGGAUGCCGAUCCAAUGUAAAGCUCCUUCGACGAGUCGAGUAGUUUGGGAAUGCUGCUCAAAAUGGGAGGUAAAUUUCUUCUAAAGCUAAAUACCGGCCAGAGACCGAUAGCGCACAAGUAGAGUGAUCGAAAGAUGAAAAGCACUUUGAAAAGAGGGUUAAAUAGCACGUGAAAUUGUUGAAAGGGAAGCGUUUGUGACCAGACUUGCGCCGUUCCGAUCAUCCGGUGUUCUCACCGGUGCACUCGGGACGGCACAGGCCAGCAUCGGUUUUGGUGGGGGGACAAAGGCCCUGGGAACGUAGCUCCUCCGGGAGUGUUAUAGCCCAGGGCGUAAUGCCCUCGCCGGGACCGAGGUUCGCGCAUCUGCAAGGAUGCUGGCGUAAUGGUCACCAACGACCCGUCUUGAAACACGGACCAAGGAGUCAAGGUUUUGCGCGAGUGUUUGGGUGUAAAACCCGCACGCGUAAUGAAAGUGAACGUAGGUGAGAGCUUCGGCGCAUCAUCGACCGAUCCUGAUGUAUUCGGAUGGAUUUGAGUAAGAGCGUUAAGCCUUGGACCCGAAAGAUGGUGAACUAUGCUUGGAUAGGGUGAAGCCAGAGGAAACUCUGGUGGAGGCUCGCAGCGGUUCUGACGUGCAAAUCGAUCGUCAAAUCUGAGCAUGGGGGCGAAAGACUAAUC